rnacentral:rRNA from 1 species
GGAGGGAAAGUUGAAAAGAACUUUGAAGAGAGAGUUCAAAAGGGCGUGAAACCGCUUAGAAUAAAACGGACGGAGCCAUCAGUGGCCCUUCGGAAUCAGUCGUACGACGCGCGAUAACGCGUUCUGCUAGAGCGAAAGUCUAGUGGAUGUGUUAGGAAAUAGUAGCGUUCGUUCGAUGCAUUUCCGGAGGGUAUGCGCCACGACUGAUGCGAAAGGCUAGUGAAUCUGGCGAAUUGAGGUGGAAUCCCUUCGGGGUAUUCAGUACCAGUUCGUCGGCCUAUAGUCGCUAGACCGCAGUAGGCAUCGAGCGCGGAAUAUAUCGAACACUGGCAAAUAUGCUCGUUUAAGCGGUGGAUAGUCGACGGAAUAUUCUGUACCUGCUCGCAGGUUAUGUUUGUUCCCGUUCGGCUUUGAAAUCGCGGACGAGUCUAGUGUUCUGGCGUCAGUGGCGUCCGAGAUGGUCAACCGUCCGACCCGUCUUGAAACACGGACCAAGGAGUCUAACGUACGCGCGAGCUAAUGAGUGGAAAACUCAUAAGCGCAAUAAAAGUAAAAGCCGUUUCCGACGGCGCAGGGUACGAUCCUGGGGUAUCUAUUUAUACCAGGCGCAGUACCAUCCCAUCCUGAUCGCUCGUCGAAGGGUGGAGAUUGAGUGCAUACGUUGGGACCCGAAAGAUGGUGAACUAUGCCUGAGCAGAGCGAAGCCAGAGGAAACUCUGGUGGAGGUUCGUAGCGGUUCUGACGUGCAAAUCGAUCGUCAGACUUGGGUAUAGGGGCGAAAGACUAAUCGAACCAUCUAGUAGCUGUUUC